rnacentral:rRNA from 1 species
GAUGAACGCUGGCGGCGUGCCUAAUACAUGCAAGUCGAGCGGUAAGGCCCUUCGGGGUACACGAGCGGCGGACGGCUGAGUAACACGUAGGAACCUACCCCAAACUGAGGGAUAAGCCACAGAAAUGGUGUCUAAUACCGCAUGUACUCUACGGAGUAAAGCUUCGGCGGCUUGGGAAGGGCCUGCGUCCGAUUAGCUAGUUGGUGGGAUAAAAGACUACCAAGGCGACGAGCGUGUAGCUGGUGUGAGAGGAUGAUCAGCCAGACUGGGACUGAGACACGGCCCAGACGCCUACGGGAGGCAGCAGUAGGGAAUUUUCCACAAUGGGCGAAAGCCUGAUGGAGCAACGCCGCGUGCAGGAUGAAUGCCUUCGGGUUGUAAACUGCUUUUAUCUGUGACGAAUAUGACGGUAGCAGAUGAAUAAGGACCUGCUAACUACGUGCCAGCAGCCGCCGUAA